CAUCCCUUCUCGUAAUUCUUCCAUCUCUUUGUUUGUGCAUUACUUGCACUUGACACGACCUCACAGGUGGUAUGGAUAUUAUCUCAUAUACACCUGAUGAUGUCCCUGGCAAGUAUAUUCUAGGCGGAUUCCCCUUGUGCGGGUUUGGAGACUGGGGAGGCCCUGAGAGGCACAAUGAGGUUUCCUGGACAGAGAAGUGGUAAGAUAAAGGAGGUCUGAAUUCUGCUCUGCCUCCUCAAAGCUGGGACCCUCAUGACAUUGCCAGGCAGCUGUGGCUGGGGCUGUGGAAGCUCCUCAUGUAUAGUUAAGAAGAUGACAUGAGGGUGGUUUGGUUAGGUCUGAUUACAGGAAGCAGCCCAGGUAAUGGAAUCUUGAAAACGUGACCUCACUUCCUUGGCGAUAGACCCCAACAGACUUAGAACUCUUGUAACCAGGCAGUUACAUUCUAGACACAGGCCCCUAGCCAGCUCAUUUGACUGGACACACUUCAGACAACAACAUGUUUGCUUGUUGUGGCCCAGUUUUCAGAGGCUCUAGGCUCAGGAAAGCCCAGAGUGUGAGACUGUUGUGUUGUUGUAGGAGUUGGCUUAACCCUCAUCCUCGGAGCCACAGGCCAUUUGGCAGGAGGUACCCAAAGAACUCCACGCAGGAGAUCUUUGAAGAGUUAUGUGACGGGUUCGACUUCUCUCCCUCCCUAGUCAAGAGGCAGGAGCAGCAGGCCACCAGCAGCAUCCUGUGCCGGUCUGAGGAACCCACCCUGUCCGUGGCUGAGGCCCGCACGAUGCUGACCCUCAAGGCAGGCGCAGUGCAGAAGGUGGUAGGCUGCCUGCAACCAUCUUUCCACGGCAGAUCCAUCUCCGUCACCACCUUCCCGUGUGUGUACCAGGCCUUCUACCCGACCCCACAGGUCCUGGACCAGCUGCUCCAGAGUGCCCUCUCUCCCAUCUGGGGCCCCCGGCCUCAGGAGAACUCCCAGGAUAUGUGGCAGAUGCUGCCACUCCAGGAUCAACCUGACGUUGGCGUAUCUCCAGGACCUCUUGCCUGGCUCAGUCCUGAAGCACCAGGCCACCCCUCUUCUCAUCCAGGUGGACCUUUUCCAGGCCACUGAGUUGGAGACAGAGGCGCUGGAACCGGCAGCAGCGCCCUCAGCUGCUCCAGACCCCGAGCGAGUGCAUCAGCACCCCAGCCCAAGUGCCAGGUCCUGAACUGGACUCAACGGGACCAAGGGGCUGCUGGGAUUUCCACCUCAGGCUCCAGUAACACGCAGAAUCAGCUCCGGUUCCAGAGGCUUCCCACCCCUGUCGAGUGACCGGGAAGAAGCAGCCCGAUGGGAAGCCUAGCCUCAUGGCCUUCUCCCCAAGGGACGUGGCAGAACAGCUGACGGCCAUUGACGCGGUGAGCACCCGGGCUCUCAGGCGGGGUGGGCAGCCACCCCUAUGCCAUCAGCUGGCCCAGACCUGCUUUCCCGUGUGGCGCUCUUGACCUGGGUCCAAUCCCAGCUCCACCACUUCCAACCAUGGGAUCUGGGCAACUCCCCAGCCUUCGUGUUCCACCCUCACACUGUAGAGAUGGGGACCAAGAGGCCCUGCUGGACAGAGGGGCUGAGCACAUGGAGUGAGUAGAACACAGAGGAAGCCUGGUGGGCUGGCCCGAGAGGUCGGGAGGAGAACUCACUGUGUGCAGCCAGGAACUCAGGCGGCCAGCCAUCUGCUCGGGAUGCUCAGCAGCCUCAGCAUUUGUGAUGCACCAGACGUGUACUUCACUAAAAGGGAGACAACCUGACAAAGCCCGUGGGUGUAGCUGGCACAGGGGAAUGUGCAGCGGAAUGGGGCCUGGGACCAAGGAUGCUCAGGAUGCAGGGAGAUGCCCCCUUGGGAGGAGCCAAGCGGAGCAGCCCUCUGGAGCUUGCAGUUUGUGGGGGUGGGCUGUGUGUAAAUGCUCCUGUCCUUUCCCCACCAGUCUGGAGUCCCGGUCCUCCUGUGCUGGGUGCUCUCAGUGGAAGAACAAUGAAAGCGAGGGGCUCCCACCACGCUGAGAACACAUCCUCAGCUUCCUGAGCCCCUCCUUAGACCGGGACUCCUGCUUGGACACU
rnacentral:lncRNA from 1 species